rnacentral:lncRNA from 1 species
UUUUCAUUCGAUUUAACAAAAAUCUUGAAGAAACAAAAGGAGACUCCACAGCCUGCUCUUAUUCCCCAGCCGGGGGAGAAAAAAUUAUCUAUCUUACAAUAUUUAUACAGCCUCUUCUUUGCCAACAAGAAUACUCAAGUCUUAGACUCAGUUGAAGACGAUGAGCAGCCUGGACCCUCUGGGUUGCCCCAAAGAACCCUUCCGAGGGCAAAGGAUUCAGACUCAGACGACGUGACCUCUGUGUCUUCUUCAGGAAUCUCAAACUUCAACAAAUGUAAUCCUCAAUUUGGGCACUCUUUGGAGAACAACAACACGGUCUGUGAAGCAAGAGAUAGAUCCUCUGAAUCCGAAUACUUCUCAUGCUACUCUAGUUUAUCAAAUUUUUACAAUAUCUCUCCUGCUGGAUUCUGGAACACUCAAGAGGAUGCUUCUCAGCCUGGGCCAUGUGAGGUGGUCCCACUCUUGAGUCCGAAAACAGGAGAAAAGUCCUCUGCAUCAGAAUAUUUUUCCUGUGCCACCUCUGCAGGCAAACUUCUUGCUGCUAAUGAAGAUGGAGUCAGUCAAGUACAGAAAAGUGUUUCUUCUCUUGGAUACCCUUUGGUAUCUCUAUCCCAGAACAGGGAGCAAUGGGAAUCUCCCUUUCCACCUCCUUUGGAUAAUAAUAAUAAGCCCCCAGUGCGUGUAACAGAGGAAACGAUCACAAAAAUUUGCUACAUUGCUGUCCCAAGAAAAAGGAGUACAGCUGUCUUAGAUACAGAGGAAAGGUUGGACCCCCCAAGAAAGAAGAAGAGAAAGAAGAGAUGAGCUUUCCUGAAGAGAUCCACACACCAGUCAGCCUCUCUGCUUUGGUUACGAAGGAACUCCCAACUGAGAGUGAGACCAAUUUUGCUGGCGAAGCUCAAGAGAAAGAGGAGGAUGCUGGCACUUCAGCAGAGCCUACAGCUCCGGGGGAAUGUUCUAGUGCCAACGUGCCUGAACCCCCGGUGGCCGUGGACAAUGACUUCAAGUGCAUGGGCUGCUGCGGGAUCUUCCCCAGCUUAGAGGUCCUUCAGAAGCAUGUGGAGCACGGGAUUGAGUAGGGCUUUAGCUGCCAUGCUUUCCAUCUUGCCAUGGCUUUCCUACAGAGCAAGAAGAACAAGAAAAAGAAGAAGAAGAAGAUCAAGAAGACAACAUCUACAUUCCA